UUUGCCUUAAAAAUUCUUUUAGUUAAAUCUGGUCUAUUAAAAGUGGCAUUCUUAUAAUUCAUUAAAGACUUUAUUUUUGGCCAAUUUGGGUUGCAUGUCAUAGUUAUAAAAGGAUCUGGUCUACCAUAUUUUCUUACAAUGGUCAUUGUAUCUUAGUAACAUGCAUGCAUGUCUCAUCCCUCCAAUCAAAGACGAUGGCAGUAUAAUUCUUCAACCAAUAUUACAAGCAUUACUUUCACCAUGUACCAUUGCAUCAUGUAUUCACUGAUAUAGUUCAAUUCUAAGCUUUUCAUGAUUAUUUUGUAGAUAGCAUAGUCUUUGAGUUUCAAUUUUGACAUACAUGUCGACUAUAUAUUGUUGAAACAGUCUUCCUGCAUGUAGCAACAAAUUUCUCUGAAGUGAUCAGAUUUGCAUUUUAAAACAAUAAUAUUCUCUGCACGAAACAUGUUUUUGUUGCCCAUAUUUAUGACGUUCAUUUCUUAGUAUAUUAUCUUCCCAUCCAAGUUCACCAAAAGGGAAUAACAGAGGAUAUUGUAGAGGAUCAUAAAAACCAAAAUAAUCUGCUAUCAUUAAUAGUUGAUCUGAUCAUGAUCUAAUCUAUACACUCCAUUGUUUAUAUUCAUUGUCGUCAUUUCCAUCAAUCCAAAUCGUGGAGAAUUUUGAUGCAAAAGCUUUGUUGUAUACUUGUUUAUAUAAAUUACUAUUUUUGUGUAGGACAAUGUUAUACUAUUUAAU
rnacentral:lncRNA from 1 species